AGGCUCCUGGUCCUGAUGCCUACAACACAACUGAUCCAAGUAUCUACAAAGACAAAGCUCCUCUCUACAGCAUCACUGGCAGAAACAUGAUGCCUGGGGAUGUGACACAGAAGCCUGGUCCUGGGGCACACUUGCCACAUCCUAACGUUGUCCGAGCUCAAAGCCCAUGUUACAGUUUUGGCAUCAAGCAUUCUCCUUAUCUUACAAGUUUAGUCGUAGAUAUACCCAGCAUUGAAUGUCGGCCCUGCGACUGAAGCUCUAGUGGGACCAUUGUGAAUGUGGCUUAGCACUUGAACAUCACCGUAGAAACCUAAUGAAUUACCUUGAACUGGAGAUUUGUAUGAUUCCUUCAGUACAGAAUUUCCCAGAAACUACUCAGUAACAGUUUAACAAAUGAACAUCUCAAAUAAAAUGUAAUAAAAAAAACUAACCCCAGUAAGUGAAAUAUCAAUAAAAGAAGCAUCAUAGAACCAA
rnacentral:sRNA from 1 species